CGAACGCUGGCGGCGUGCUUAACACAUGCAAGUCGAACGGAAAGGCCCUUCGGGGUACUCGAGUGGCGAACGGGUGAGUAACACGUGGGUGAUCUGCCCUGCACUUUGGGAUAAGCCUGGGAAACUGGGUCUAAUACCGAAUAGGACCACGGUCUGCAUGGAUUGUGGUGGAAAGCUUUUGCGGUGUGGGAUGGGCCCGCGGCCUAUCAGCUUGUUGGUGAGGUUACGGCUCACCAAGGCGACGACGGGUAGCCGGCCUGAGAGGGUGUCCGGCCACACUGGGACUGAGAUACGGCCCAGACUCCUACGGGAGGCAGCAGUGGGGAAUAUUGCACAAUGGGCGCAAGCCUGAUGCAGCGACGCCGCGUGAGGGAUGACGGCCUUCGGGUUGUAAACCUCUUUCGCCAGGGACGAAGCGCAAGUGACGGUACCUGGAGAAGAAGCACCGGCCAACUACGUGCCAGCAGCCGCGGUAAUACGUAGGGUGCGAGCGUUGUCCGGAAUUACUGGGCGUAAAGAGCUCGUAGGUGGUUUGUCGCGUUGUUCGUGAAAACUCACAGCUUAACUGUGGGCGUGCGGGCGAUACGGGCAGACUGGAGUACUGCAGGGGAGACUGGAAUUCCUGGUGUAGCGGUGGAAUGCGCAGAUAUCAGGAGGAACACCGGUGGCGAAGGCGGGUCUCUGGGCAGUAACUGACGCUGAGGAGCGAAAGCGUGGGGAGCGAACAGGAUUAGAUACCCUGGUAGUCCACGCCGUAAACGGUGGGUACUAGGUGUGGGUUUCCUUCCUUGGGAUCCGUGCCGUAGCUAACGCAUUAAGUACCCCGCCUGGGGAGUACGGCCGCAAGGCUAAAACUCAAAGGAAUUGACGGGGGCCCGCACAAGCGGCGGAGCAUGUGGAUUAAUUCGAUGCAACGCGAAGAAC
rnacentral:rRNA from 1 species